GACGAACGCUGACGGCGUGCCUUACGCAUGCAAGUCGAGCGGUCCACUUCGGUGGACAGCGGCAGACGGCUGAGUAACACGUAAGUAACCUGUCCUUCAGUGGGGGAUAACCCCGCGAAAGCGGGGCUAAUACCGCGUGCGCUCCCGGAGGGAAGUGCCCCGGGAGGAAAGCCUUCGGGCGCUGAAGGGGGGGCUUGCGGCCUAUCAGGUAGUUGGCAGGGUAACGGCCUACCAAGCCUACGACGGGUAGCUGGUCUGAGAGGACGAUCAGCCAGACGGGGACUGAGACACGGCCCCGACUCCUACGGGAGGCAGCAGCGAGGGAUCUUGCGCAAUGGGCGAAAGCCUGACGCAGCAACGCCGCGUGGAGGAAGAAGGCCUUCGGGUCGUAAACUCCUUUUGCAGGGGAAGAAGGUCUGACGGUACCCUGCGAAUAAGCCACGGCUAACUACGUG
rnacentral:rRNA from 1 species